rnacentral:rRNA from 1 species
UAACCGGCGAACGGGUGCGUAACACGUGAACAACCUGCCCUCGUGUGGGGGAUAGCCAUGCUAACGCGUGGGUAAUACCGCAUACGUUCCUCUGGGGGAGUCCCUGGGGGAGGGAAAGCUCCGGCGCACGGGAGGGGUUCGCGGCCUAUCAGCUAGUUGGCGGGGUAAUGGCCCACCAAGGCGACGACGGGUAGCUGGUCUGAGAGGAUGGCCAGCCACAUUGGGACUGAGAGACGGCCCAG